rnacentral:lncRNA from 1 species
GGGAGAAAGAGACAGAGAAAGACAGACAGACAGACAGAGACAGAGACAGAGAGACAGACAGAGACAGAGAGACAGAGAGAGAGACAGAAAGACAGAAAGACAGACAGACAGACAGACAGACAGACAGACAGAGACAGAGAGACACAGAGAGAGAGAGACCUACCGACAGGGCUGCUGUGGCCUGUUCCUAAGGUUGCACUCCAGUGGUUUGUGUCGUGUUGUGCUUGCUCAGCCGGCUUGAUCCUCCUUGUUAAAAAACCUCCAAACCUCUGAAGAGCGAAGUAAAUUAACCUGCAUCCGUAUGGGCUCCCUGGCCAGGCUGGAAAUGAAGAAGCUCACUGCUUGUCGUGUGGAAUGUGGGUUCCAUCACGACACUGACGUUACCCCAGAAGGAGACCAGAGUGUCAGUGAAUUGGAUACUGAACAGCUCCAACCAACAAACAGUGAGUACAAGUGGUUACUCUAAAAGAGCAGGAUGUUCUCCUGGAGAGCAUGAGU